UCACACCCUUUCUGAUCAACAUCCCCAAGAGGUUGGGUGACGUGACGCUGCGAGACUUCAAGGCGGCCGUGGACAGACAAGGCAGCUUCAGAUACCACUUCAAAGCUCUCGACCCGGAGUUCGGCACCGUCAAAGAGGAGGUGUUCCAGGACGGAGCGGUGGUGCCCGGCUGGGAGGGGAAGAUUGUAGCUUGGGUAGAGGAGGACCACGGAGAGAGGAAGUAGAAGCCCCCCCCCACCCCCCCCAAAAAAACCUCAAUUGUGUCUAUGAGAUCAGAACUUGAAUGGAAAUACUCGGGACCAAUGGACUGGAAUAAACGGUUUGAAUGUUUCAUGUCGAGGAAUGCUGGUUAAGACACUGUUUACACCUCAUGAAGGCAAAAGCCAGUUACUGAGCUGAAAGAGUUCCACGAUGAAUAAUAGAGUUGAGAUAAUGGACGGAUGUUCACUGCCAUUUUCCACAAGUUCCUGAUUGCCAAAUAGUGAUGUUUGCCUUUUAGUUUCAACCAAUAUUUAAAUAAACAUGAAUUGUUGCAUGGAU